UUUUAUUUCCUUCCUUCCGUUCGUCGUCUGUCCGUCUUUGUGUGGAUUCUGGGACAGUCUCCUCAUUCUGUAUCUCCCUGUGUCCUAAACCACCCACUACCGAGUCCUGGUCAUUCUUUCUCCCGCUGAGAUGCAUCUCCAAGCAUCUGCAAACACCCACACCCACGGGUUGUCUUUGACUGGACUCUGUCGUGGUCUAUGCAGAGCCACGUAUCGGGGAUCAUUUCUGGGGUCGGGUGGAUCCAUUUCGCCCACGAGCUGCCCUUGCCAUCUCGAUCUGUCUUGUUGACGUUCGCGCUGGUUGUCGGGCUCCACUGAGGCCACCUCUCUAAGUUCUCUUGUCCUCCGGAGCUCCAGCGGCAGCUGCCGAGGGAGGGACCGUCCCCGCUGUGAGCUGGGCGGAGCUCGGGAAGGCCCGCAGCCUUCAGCUGAACUGUCUCAAUGGGACCAGAGCUCUGGCGCGUCCCUUAUGCAUAAUCUCACCGCUGAACAUUCCUGACAGUGUGAUUAUGACAUAUGACUUUACCCAGCACCAGAGUGAGUUGGUGCUCCAGCCCUGGCCCAGCCCACAGAAGAGAUUGUGACAUAUCACUGGACCCAACACUGAGAUGUUGCCCAAAAAGAGAUUGUGACAUAACUUUGGGCCCAGCACCGAGGUGAUGUCUCCCCUCUCCUGCCUGGGGCUUGCCCACCGAAGAGAGAGUGACUUAUUGAUGAGUUCAGCACACAGGGAUUGUGUCAUAUCACUCUGUCAAGAACCUAGAUGAGGUGACUCUCCUCUCCAGCCUGGGACCUACAUACGUUGUGUAUUGAGACAUGUCACUGGCUUCAACACCUGGAUAACACAACUCUCCUGCAUGGGCCCUGCCCAUAGAGAUGUGAUUGUGACAUACACCUCUGCCCAGCACCUGAGUGAUUUGACUCUUCUGCCUGGGCCCAGUGUACAGAUGGGAUUGUGCC
rnacentral:lncRNA from 10 species